CGGCAUGUUCCAGGGCAUGCGAGGCGGGGGCGCCUUCCCGGGCGGCUCCCGCUUUGGUUUCGGGUUUGGCAAUGGCAUGAAGCAGAUGAGGCGGACCUGGAAGACCUGGACCACAGCCGACUUCCGAACCAAGAAGAAGAAGAGAAAGCAGGGCGGCAGUCCUGACGAGCCAGAUAGCAAAGCCACCCGCACGGACUGCUCGGACAACAGCGACUCAGACAAUGAUGAGGGCACCGAGGGGGAAGCCACAGAGGGCCUUGAAGGCACCGAGGCUGUGGAGAAGGGCUCCAGAGUGGACGGAGAGGACGAGGAGGGAAAAGAGGAUGGGAGAGAAGAAGGCAAAGAGGAUCCAGAGAAGGGGGCCCUAACCACCCAGGAUGAAAAUGGCCAGACCAAGCGCAAGUUGCAGGCAGGCAAGAAGAGUCAGGACAAGCAGAAAAAGCGGCAGCGAGACCGCAUGGUGGAAAGCCUCGCCGGCGCCCGGCCCCUGGGCUCUCCAGACAAAGCUGACCCCGUGGCCCAGAUAAGGACGUCCGGCAGAGGAUCCAGUUUGUGUGUUCUCUGUGCAAAUACCGGACCUUCUAUGAGGACGAGAUGGCCAGCCAUCUUGACAGCAAGUUCCACAAGGAACACUUUAAGUACGUAGGCACCAAGCUCCCUAAGCAGACGGCUGACUUUCUGCAGGAGUACGUCACUAACAAGACCAAGAAGACAGAGGAGCUCCGAAAAACUGUGGAGGACCUUGAUGGCCUCAUCCAGCAAAUCUACAGAGACCAGGAUCUGACCCAGG
rnacentral:sRNA from 1 species